CCUGUGCCAUCCUAUGCUCUGAUUUUGCUGCUCUGUGGGUGCUCCAUGGUGACUCAUCUGUCCCUGGGGGCCCCUUGAAAGAUGCUUAGGGGUCUUCCCUGGGCCGGUUCCCUCAGGGCAUUCAGGCCUGGGCUGGAGCUGAAACUGGUUCUCUGCUUUGCUCUGUCUUACAACCUGCUGUCCCCUGCUGCAGCCUGGGGACUCACUUUCCAGCCCUGCAACCCACACCCAGAAGUGCGUUCAUCUUGUAGCAGGCACGCGCUGUGGAGAUGUGAACAAACCCACCAGUGGGAACAAGGCUCAGGCCCGCAGAGCAGGCACUGUGUGGACAAUUUCCCCUCAUGACUGUGUGGUUGGCUGGAAACUUCUGCGGCCAGCAUCAAUGAGAGCAUUCACAUGGCAAGCGGAGGAAAAUUCCAACUCAAAACUCAAAGUACGAGGCCUGAUAAAUGUGUGCUGUUUUCACAGCAUUCUGAUGUGAAG
rnacentral:lncRNA from 1 species